GAGUUUGAUCGUGGCUCAGAUUGAACGCUGGCGGCAUGCCUUACACAUGCAAGUCGAACGGUAACAGGUCUUCGGACGCUGACGAGUGGCGAACGGGUGAGUAAUACAUCGGAACGUGCCCAGUCGUGGGGAGUAACUACUCGAAGAGUAGCUAAUACCGCAUACGAUCUGAGGAUGAAGCGGGGGACCGUUCGGCCGUCGCGCGAUUGGAGCGGCCGAUGGCAGAUUAGGUAGUUGGUGGGAUAAAAGCUUACCAAGCCGACGAUCUGUAGCUGGUCUGAGAGGACGACCAGCCACACUGGGAC
rnacentral:rRNA from 1 species